GCACUGGCAGUGUAGUGGUAGCAUUCUCACCUUCCAUGCAGGAGGCCUGGGUUUGAUUCCCUGCCAGUGCG
rnacentral:tRNA from 1 species